rnacentral:rRNA from 1 species
UUUUGUGUUUUCCAUGAUAGCACCAGAUUUUGUCAGAUCUUGGAAGCUAAGCAGUCUCAAUUCUGGUUAGUACUUGGUUGGGAGACUAUCAAUGAAUACCAGGUGCUAUAC